UGUUCCCGGUUCAAUAUCCCCACGCCGAAGCUCUGCUCCUUGUGCCUUCAGAUGAGAGCGCCUUCGGAUCUUUGCGCUUGGGUCCUUGUUCACACCAGCGCUGUCCUGGGCUGCCCAGGUGCCAGCGGUGUGGCCCAAUCUCUGGGGCCUCUGCAUGGCUGGCUAAGAGCAUCGCGGAGCUGGUGUGAGGCGGGAGCUAGAGGCUAGAAGGCGCCUAAUGCUCCUGGCGCCGCUGGCGGCGGAGACCAAAGCGCCGGGAAAGGAAGAAGGCAGAAGCGCCUGGGGGGCGGGGGGAAGAGAGGAGGGAGUAGGGUGCUGCUGGGGCGCAGGUCAGGCGGUCCCCCUCCUUUGGCGCUCUCUCCGCCUCUAAGGCGCCCACCCAGGUCCGAGAACCUAGCGGCAGGACCAUGAAGAGGAAGAGACGGGGCGGCCAGCUGAGCGGAGGGCAUGGGCGCCACUGAUCAGCCAAGCAAGUCACGUCUGGGGCGAUUGGGUUGGUUUUUUUCCUCCCCCUUUUCCUUUCUUCCCCUCCCUUGUUGUCGAGGGCAAAGUGGAUGUAGCAGCGCCAUGCCCGGACUGGAGUGAGAGCGAGUGAAAAUGGCGUACAUACAGGACAGUUGGAGCCAUUAAAUGAGAGCUUUCUUUCUAGAAUCUCUGAUCUGCUGCUGUGUAGAUGGAACCUGUCGUCACUGCUGUCAAAAAUGUUAUGAGUGUAGCUGCUGCCAGUCAAGUGAAGAUGAAGUUGAAAUCUUGGGACCUUUCCCUGCCCAGACUCCACCCUGGUUGUAAGUGAAGUUGCCCUGGCUUCCUCUGGUACCAUGGUGUAGUGCAUGGUUUGUGUUUAAUAUCUGUGUGUGUGUGUGUGUGUGUGUGUGUGUAAUUUUAAGCAUUAUUGGAAAUAGUCCCUGGGAUAUGUUCUUCUUUGCCUGAUAGGGGUCAGAGGUCCACAAAAGGAAGAAUAAUUGGAGUUUAGGAGGCUAAUGAAAAUCUUUGUUGUGAUGCUCAUGUUAGCUUAUAGUCUACCUUUCCUGGUAUUUGGCAUGUUGGUGAGACUGAGUCUCUAAGGUAAUGUAAGUGUUAACAGCAUUGACUUUGGAGUAGGGGAUCUAGGUUUAGAUUCUGUCUUCUACCCUGAAUGACUUUAGGGAACUCCCUUAAACGCUCGGUGCCUCAAUUUCCU
rnacentral:lncRNA from 1 species